GACGAACGCUGGCGGCGCGCUUAACACAUGCAAGUCGAACGGAACGGCCUGCUUUCCCUUGUGGAUUGCGGGUACGCGAGUGGCUGACGGGUGAGUAACACGUGAGUGAUCUGCCCCCAACUUGGUUAUAAGCCUGGGAUACUGGGGCUAAUUCCCUGUAGGACUGCAGGGUGGUGCCUAGUGUUGAAUACGAUUUUCUAGUGAGUGCGGAUGAGCGCGCGGCCUAUCAGCUUGUUGGCGCGGUAAGGGCCUACCAAGGCGGCGACGGGUAGCCGGCCGGAGAGGGUGGACGGCCACAGUGGGACUGAGACUCGGCCCAGACUCCUACGGGAGGCCGCCGUCGCGAAUCUUGCAAAGUGCGGGGAAGCCUGAUGCAGCGACGCCGCGUGGCGGAUGGCGGACUUCGGGUUGUAACCUCCUUGCGACCGAGAGGAAGCCACGUGGUUGGAAGGGUGGUGACGGCAGUGGUAGAAGAAGCACCGGCUAACCACGUG
rnacentral:rRNA from 1 species